UACUGUUGUUGGGACCUCCGCCGG
rnacentral:siRNA from 1 species